GUUGCUUCUUUAAUAAUAGAGUGGCCAUUGAACAAUUAUUAGUCACUUUUAAAUCUGGAGCAUAUAUAAAGUGAAUGCCAGUUUUAAACAGCAUAAUUUGCUUCCUCAGAAUUGUGCUACCUGUCUCCUGGUAAAUUU
rfam:Jatropha curcas cultivar GZQX0401 scaffold502_27, whole genome shotgun sequence.